rnacentral:lncRNA from 1 species
GUCACUUAACCUUUGUCUCAUGAAAAAGUUCACCGUCUAAUUGAGAAAAACUAGUGAUGGCUUUUCUAAUUUGACUUAUUUUUCUAAUUGAAAAGUAUUUUUUGAAGAAUUCUCUCUGAAGAUAGUCUCAAGUUGAAAUGAUUAUGGAAUCUAGAGAGUUUAGCCAAUAUUUGACUUUGUCCUUAAGUGAAAAAGGGAACAAUUUCAAGUUGAGGGCAUCAUCGAAGAAGUUUUGGAUUUUUAUUAUAGAGCAUAUUUCAAAAAAUUCGUCCAAGUGUUUAUACAGAUCCUCGUUCAUCAGUCCAUAGAAUGAAGGUAGCAUUUGAAUAAUGCUGUACUUG